rnacentral:ncRNA from 1 species
GCAAAGACGUUGAAGAGAAGAGUAGGUAUGUAAAUACCAAUACAGAGAGCUCCUGUUGGUGAGAUGGAGCAAGGGAAGGCAUAUUGAACAUGGUCUUGGAGUUGGAUUGCUGAAGGGAAACUUUAGGCAGUCACGUAAUGCACACGUUACAGUGCCGGAGUAUUUAAGGAUGGAAUUCCUGCGUACUCGAUGAGGUAUAUGCCGCGAGGCUUAUACGAACUUAGGGUGGUAUCACGAUGCGCUUACGCUUUCGUCCCUUUG